AAUAACCAAAGUGUUAUUUGUAUCAGAUUGCUCCAACUGGUGGAAGAUGACUGGAUCUUCAUGUACCAUUAACAGUCACUGGUCCCAUAAAGCAGUGUACUGGUGUGAGUCUGUAUCAGGAGAGUUCAGCAAUGCAGUCAACAUCAGCAUAAAUGAUGAAGAUCUUCUCCUGGUGAGCCCCGUCCAUCCUGUGACUGAAGGAGCUUCUGUUACUCUGAGCUGCAGACUGAGAGGA